AGGAGACACUCUGAGCUGGAGCAGCUUUCACACACAGAGGAUCACAUCCAUUUCCUCCAGAUGUGCCAGGGUCUUCCUGUCACCCCUGAAGCUGGAUCUGGACCCAGAAUCUCUGUCAGUUCAAGAUCUGAUUUUGGGAAUUCGAGGAAGGUGGUUUCUGAACUGAAAGAUCAACUGGAGAAUGUUUGCAGAAAGAAAAUGGCAGAGAUCCAUCGUACAGUUAUCAAAGACACCAUCCUACCGGUAUUAGUGCCCAGGACCAGAGCAGAAUUCUUACAAUGUGAGUCUGUUCACACACACGCUUCUCUCUCCCUGUAUGAGGUGGAGUGUGUUUUAUUGUGUUUCGUUUUCUUCUGCUAGGGGAGCAUCUCUUUGUCUCUCCCGCUGCCUCCUGGUCUUUUACAUUUACAUGAGCUGUUUAUGUCAGUAGCCUUUGAAUCCAAUUGCAA